rnacentral:rRNA from 1 species
UGGCUGUCGUCAGCUCGUGUCGUGAGAUGUUGGUUAAGUCCCGCAACGAGCGCAACCCUUGUCACUAGUUGCCAUCAUUUAGUUGGGCACUCUAGUGAGACUGCCGGUGACAAACCGGAGGAAGGUGGGGAUGACGUCAAGUCCUCAUGGCCUUUAUGGGUAGGGCUUCACACGUCAUACAAUGGUCGGUACAGAGGGUUGCCAAGCCGCGAGGUGGAGCCAAUCCCUUAAAGCCGAUCGUAGUCCGGAUCGUAGUCUGCAACUCGACUACGUGAAGUCGGAAUCGCUAGUAAUCGCAGAUCAGCAUGCUGCGGUGAAUACGUUCCCGGGUCUU